rnacentral:rRNA from 1 species
UACGUAGGGGGCAAGCGUUAUCCGGAUUUACUGGGUGUAAAGGGAGCGUAGGUGGUUCGGCAAGUCAGAUGUGAAAGCCCGGGGCUCAACCCCGGGAUUGCAUUUGAAACUGUCGGACUAGAGUGCAGGAGAGGUAAGUGGAAUUCCUAGUGUAGCGGUGAAAUGCGUAGAUAUUAGGAGGAACACCAGUGGCGAAGGCGGCUUACUGGACUGUAACUGACACUGAGGCUCGAAAGCGUGGGGAGCAAACAGG